GGGGAGAAGAAAAAAAAAAGGAUAUGUUGAGUAGUGGGAGUGGAGGGAGGGUCAUGCAAAUCGCUAGACCAUGGAAGGUGAGUAAAGUAAGGGUUCCCUUUAAGUAGGGAAAAUACAUGCCCCUCCCACAAUUACAGGCCAAACGGCCUUAAUACUUAUGGUGACAUCACUAUAUUUCCCCUGAUUCACGUGAGUGCAACUAAUAUUUUACCUAUCCAUCAUUUAUCUAACAAUACUUCACUAUAGUAUAUUGCCUUCUGGUUCCAGCUACAUUACUAAGACAGAGAGAAGUAUAUACAGCUUUACUGAUUGCGUAUGUUCUUUUGGUAU